UAUCCACAGCUUUACAUCAAGAUCAAUCUGUUUCUCAAGUUCCUUGCAUGACAGCUAGAGCUUUUCAUGAUAAAUUCACUUAUAGCUUUCCGGUCUCACCUGGCCUCAAAUUCCUACGUUUCUAUUUCUACCCGGCUCAAUACUCUGACUUUGAUGGAACCACUUCCCUCUUCUCUGUUACCGCCAAUAACUACGUUCUUUUGGAAAAUUUCAGUGCCUAUUUAACCGUUUCUGCUAUAAUUCCUCCAGAAGCCUCAUUGAUGAAAGAAUUUAUGGUUCCAGUUUUGGACAAAGAGAGGCUAAAUAUAACCUUUUCCCCAUCUUCAAACUCUGUCGCCUUUGUAAACGGUAUUGAAGUUGUUUCUAUACCAGACAAUCUUUAUGGAGGUGACAGGGAAAAUUCUUUGCCCUUUGUUAAUACCAAAUUUGCUACCUUUGAUAUUCCUAAUACCACAGCUUUUGAAACUGCUUAUCGUCUAAAUGUUGGUGGACAAGAUGUGGCUAACGUAAAAGACACAGGCAUGUUUCGAACAUGGCAUGAUGAUUCGUCCUAUAUCUUUGGUGGUGCAUUAGGUUCUACGCCUCAUCGGUCCAAUGUUACAAUCAUAUACACCCAAGAAACUCCGGCUUAUACGGCUCCGGUUUUUGUCUACAGUACAUCACGAACUAUGGGUGCUGAUCCGAAAAUCAACAUGAAUUACAAUCUGACAUGGAUUUUUUCUGUUGAUACUGGCUUCAGAUACCUCCUUAGGCUUCAUUUUUGCGAGACUCAAUUGGAAGUGACGGAAUUAGGUCAACGCGUGUUUGAUAUAUGCAUCAAUAAUCAAACAGCUGGCCCUGAAUUCGACGUGAUCGAGCAGAGUGGCGGUAAUAGCAAGCCGAUAUACAAGAUUACAUUGCGUUGAUCCCAAAUGGAUCCGGUCAAAGUGAACAAGUUCUGUGGCUAGCGUUACACCCUAGCGAAAGACGUUGGUUCAAAGUUUGCUGAUGCAAUCCUGAACGGUUUAGAGAUUUUUAGACUCAACAAAUCAGACGGUAGUCUUGCAGUGCCAAAUCCUGAACCGAAUUUAAGUCUUACACGAAAGGAGCCGGACCAAGGUUGCCCUAUUGGAAAAAGGAAAAAGGGUGCUCGCAGCAGGUUAUGGUCAUUGCCAUAGCUGUCUUUAGUGCUAUAUUUGCUCUUACCCUUAUCAUAUGUUUUUUCAUUUUCAAGCACAAAAGGAAAGUAAAGGAUUCAGCUUCAGCUGUUAGCAUACCCAAAUCAUCAUGGGGACAAGUGCCCUGCCCAUCAAACUCCACCUGUACAACCAACGUUUCCUUACUACCAUCUGAUCUUUGUCGCCGGUUCUCGAUCAUUGAGAUUAAAGAAGCCACCUUUAAUUUCGAUGAGCAAUUCAUUAUUGGCUCAGGAGGAUUUGGUCACGUCUAUAAAGGUUGUAUCGAUGGUGGUACAGUUGCAAUCAAAAGGUUAGAUUCAUCAUCAAGGCAAGGAACCCGAGAGUUCCAAACUGAACUUGAGCUACUCUCCAAGCUACGCCAUGUCAAUCUCGUGUCCUUGAUUGGUUUCUGUGAUGAUAACGGUGAGAUGAUUCUUGUCUAUGAGUAUAUGCCGCGAGGGACCCUCCGAGAUCAUCUCUACAAAACCAAAAACCCUCCUUUACCAUGGAAAAGGAGGUUGGAAAUCUGCAUUGGAGCCGCUCGUGGAUUGCAUUACCUUCAUGCAGGAGUGAAGCACCCUAUCAUUCACCGGGAUAUCAAAUCUACCAACAUAUUAUUGGAUGAGAACUUGGGUGGCCAAGGUUUCUGACUUUGGAUUGUCUAGAGUGGGUCCAACAAACAUGUUUCAAAGCCAUGUCAGCACUGUGGUGAAGGGAAGUGUCGGAUACGUUGAUCCUGAGUACUAUCGAAGGCAACAGUUGACUGAGAAAUCCGAUGUUUACUCAUUCGGUGUGGUUUUAUUUGAAGUAUUAUGUGCUAGACCGUCAAUGAUUCCAGGGCUACCAAAAGAUCAGGUCAGCCUGGCUCGAUGGGCCAGGAUUUGCCAUGCAAGAGGAACCCUUGGACAAAUCAUGGACCCAAAUUUGGUGGGUGACAUUUCACCUCUGUGCCUAAAGAAAUUCGGUCAGCUUGCUGAGAGUUGUAUCUGUGACGAAGGAAUUGAGCGGCCAAUGAUGAAUGAUGUGGUUUGGGGUUUAGAAUUUGCACUGCAAAUCCAAGAGGGAACUGAGAGGAACAUGAUGAACAUGGGAGAUUAUAAUCAGGUGAUCAGCUCAAGCCAAACCAGUCCUUUGAUCUCGCAAGGAGCAGUGACUACCACGGAUGAUGAUGAUGGUGACUUGUUUAGUGUUUCAGGUGGACAAGUAUCAGAAUCAAGGAGCACGAUUAGCAGUGGUGAGAGGAGUGUUAGUCGAAGAGAUAUUGAUAGCAAUAGGAUGAAAUCUGAGACUGUAUUCUCGGAAAUUAUGAAUGCAAAUGGAAGAUGAGAUUAUAGUACCUGCUAAACCUUUUGUUUUGUAAUCUACAGUUUUCAGAGAUUUUUGUCCCCAAAUCCCCCAAUCUCUUUAUAUGUACAAUGUAAAAAUAUACGCAUUAAAUCUUUAUAUUUGAAAUAUAUAUAUAUAUAUAUAUAUAUUAAAGUGAAAUUUGCCAAUAUAUUAUAACUCUACAUUUAAUUUCAUUCUUGUAUUUUAAUUUUAUUAAAUUUUAUCAAUCCUAGAAUUUAAUCAGCUUAUUGUCGUGGAGUAAUUUUUUGCUAUUUCAUUUUUAAAAAAUUAAAUAUUUUACAUGCUUUGAUAUAUACUGAUAUUAAUGUAGAACAAAAUUAUUCAUCACAUUUAUAUAUUAAUAAUAGAAACUUAUGUAUAAAGUUAUUUAUAUCCAUCAUAUCAUCGGUGACAUGAAAGAUGGAAUUAAUCAUUUUACCAUCUUGUUUAAUGAUAAAUCUUUUACCCUAAACGUGUAAAAAUAUUGCUUUAUAAUUAGCGACCAAUAUUUUUUUAUCAAAAAAGAAAAAAGAAAAAAAAAUUGUGUAUCAUGGACAACCUAAGGUUGCAAGAAACCUUGUAAUUUUUAUUCUAUGGAUAUCAAUAUAAAAUUAAAUAAAUAAUAAAUUUAUAUAUAUUAUAUAUUAAAAAAUUCAAAACAACUUUGACCUGAUCUGUAUUUAAAAUUUUAAAAAGUUCAACCCAAAUCCUCAUUUUUAAAAUACAUCUAUUGGAGUGUUGGAUCACAUUAAAUUGAAUAGGUUGUUUUAUCAUCUCUAUUUUUAUUUUUUAUUUUUUUAUAAAAUAUUAUUUAUUUUAAAAUGAUAAAAAAAUAACAUUUAAAAAAUACAAAAUAAAGAAAAAAAAAACUAAAUAAAGAAACAAAUUUUUUUUUAAAAAAAGAAGGGUUCCCACGUGGACACCCAAACCUCUUCAAAAUCUAUAAAAUUAAAUAUGUAGAUACUUUUUUUUUAAUAUUUUGACAAAAUUAAUAGAAUUUAAAUAUUUAAUAAAUUUUUUUAAUUGAAAUAGAUAAUUUUACUACUAUACUUUCAGUUUCAAUUAAUUUCAAAUAAAAAUGAAAUUGAAUUAUUGCACAUAAGAUUUUAUUAAUGCAAACGAAAAUUUUGCAUCAACUUUUUCAUUUUAUAUCUAAAUAUCAACAAAAUUAAAAAAAUACAGUAUAGAAUUUAAUAAAAUUGAAAUAAGUAGCAAUAUCAAAAUAACUUAUUUCCAUUAUUUCCAAGAAUAAGAAGCAUACUUUGCUUAUUACAAGCUUGCAAAUGCCAAAAAAAAAAACUUAUAUUCCAUUAUUCAAAUGAUAGAAAGCGGAAGAUAUAAGUUUAAAAAUUCAAAACCAAAAAUCAAAUCAAGUAACUGUACCUAAUUAAAAAUCUGUGUAACGAUACAAUUGAUAUUGCCUUUCAAGUGAGAUAGACAGAGCAACUUGCUUCAUGUUCUAAUUGUCAAAAGUUUUUUAUGUUUACAAUAAAAAUAAUUGUGGUGAUUAAAUUUGACGAAUUAAAUGAUAUUUGUUUAAUUGAAAAAAUUAUAAAAAAUAAUAAAAAUAAAAUUAAUCAUAUUUAUUUAUUUUUUACUUUUAAAAAAUAAAAAGUAACUAUAUGUUCUACUACUCAUCAAAUAACUAAUUUGUUUAUUUUUUAAAAUUUAUUAUUUUUUACUCAAAUACUGAGUGUACUGGAGUAUAGUACUAUUAAACUGUCAAAGUCAAUUAGCACUAUUAGAAGACCCACAUAAGUAUCAUACGAAAUAGAAUUUGGGAAAGAAUGACUUGGUCACUUGGCUAUAGAACCAACUUCAGUUUUUUCCACAUUGUUGAUGCACCCACUUUGAACUUUCUUCAAUGCAUCUCUCUUACAAAUCUUUUCAAUACAGUUGAUAUGAUUAAAUUAAACUGAGGAAAUUUCCACCAAAACGCGAAAAAAGAAUUAUAAAGUAGGUUUUCUGUUCACAUAGAGUGUCACAAUUAAAAGAAGUUCUUUUCCUGGUCGUUUUCAUUUUGCAUGGACUAGUCAAAUGCUAAAGAUUGAUAAUUUUUCAGGAAAAAUCAGACUUCAUACGGUUGGAAAAAUCAAAUGCUAAACAUUCCCAACCCAUCAAUUUCUUCCUCACAAAUCAUCCAAUGGUUGUGAACUUUAACCCAUUUUUGGAGAGUCAGGGGUAUCAUAAAGAACUUGACAAGAUGCAUUCUUGCCAUCACAAAUCUCAAGUUUACUUCACUUUGUUCAGGGUCUAAUAAAUGACAGAACAAUGGUGAACUACUCUUGAAAGUUAAAGCCACCUACCUGUUCUUUCCGCUCUCUUAUUGACACCCUUGGCGCUUCUUUGCUUCGAAACUUGUCCUGCUAUACACAAUUACACAUUAUUCCUUCUCUCCAACAGACUCAGUUCCAUGUUUCCUUUCAUUUUCUACCUGGUGUCUCUCCAUCUUCUCUUCCCUGUCACUAUAGCUGGCAAAUCAUCUGCCUACACCCCAAUCGAUUAUAUUCUCCUCAGCUGUGGUGCAUCAUCUGAUACAAUAUCGGAAGAUGGCAGGAAAUGGUUCACUGAUGAAAGGUCCAAAUUUUUUACCUCUAAUCCUGAAACCGUUUCAUUUGUAUCCACAGCUUCACAUCAAGAUCAAUCUGUCUCUCAAGUUCCUUACAUGACAGCUAGAGCUUUUCAUGAUAAAUUCACUUAUAGCUUUCCGGUAUCACCUGGCCUCAAAUUCCUACGUUUCUAUUUCUACCCGGCUCAAUACUCUGACUUUGAUGGAACCACUUCCCUCUUCUCUGUUACCGCCAAUAAUUACGUUCU
rnacentral:lncRNA from 1 species